rnacentral:rRNA from 1 species
CAGCAGCCACGGUAAUACGUAGGGUGCAAGCGUUAAUCGGAAUUACUGGGCGUAAAGCGUGCGCAGGCGGUUAUAUAAGACAGAUGUGAAAUCCCCGGGCUCAACCUGUGAACUGCAUUUGUGACUGUAUAGCUAGAGUACGGCAGAGGGGGAUGGAAUUCCGCGUGUAGCAGUGAAAUGCGUGGAUAUGCGGAGGAACACCGAUGGCGAAGGCAAUCCCCUGGGCCUGUACUGACGCUCAUGCACGAAAGCGUGGGGAGCAAACAGGAUUAGAUACCCCCGUAGUCCCUGUCUCUUAUAC